rnacentral:rRNA from 1 species
UCAGACGAAGAAGGAUCAGCCAUCAAACGUCGAGUCUUCUUAAACUAGCGACUAGGAUGGAAUGAAACAUCCCCAUUCAGUACUUGGAAAUCAAAGCUUGGGUCCGGGGAGUAUGGUGCAAGACUGAAACUUAAAGAAAUGACGGAAGGCACCCCCAGGGGUGGAGCUGCGGCUUAAUUGACUCAACACGGGGGAGCGUGGCCAGGUCCAGACAAUAGUAAGCAUUGCCAGAUGAUAGCUCUUUCUUGAUUCGUAGUGGGUGGUGGUGCAUGCCGUUCUAGUGGUGGAGUGUUUGUCUGGUGGGGUGCGCGGGGGCGCGAGCUUACUGCUAACUAGAUAUUUUCAUUUAUGAAUAUAUCUUCUUAGAGGGACUAUAUGCUUUAAGUAUAUGGAAGUUUGAGGCAAUAACAGGUCUGUGAUGCCCUUAUAUAACAUAAGCAGCACGCGUGCUACACUGAUAUAUACAACAAGUGCCUAGCUGGAUAUAGUAUGGCAAUCUCGAAUAUAUAUCGUGAUGGGGAUAGAUCUUUGCAAUUAUAGAUCUUGAACGAGGAAUUCCUAGUAAGUGCAAGUCAUCGUCAUGAAUUGAUUAUGUCCCUGCCCUUUGUACACACCGCCCGUCUCUCCUCUCCGAUACCGGGGAAUGACGGUGAACCUUUGGACCUUAAUAGGAAAAAUAAGUAAACCUAUCACCUAGAGGAAGGGAAGUCGUCCCGUUGAUUGGGAACUCGAGUAUACGGACCUUGGGAUUUGAGUCGA